rnacentral:rRNA from 1 species
AGUGAACGCUGGCGGUAGGCCUAACACAUGCAAGUCGAACGGCAGCGCAGUAAUUGCUUGCUCUUACGGGUGGCGAGUGGCGGACGGGGGGGGAAUGCAUCGGAAUCUACUUUUUCGUGGGGGAGAACGUAGGGAAACUUACGCGAAUAACGCAUACGACCUACGGGUGAAAGCAGGGGAUCUUCGGACCUUGCGCGAUUGAAUGAGCCGAUGUCGGAUUAGCUAGUUGGCGGGGUAAAGGCCCACCAAGGCGACGAUCCGUAGCUGGUCUGCGAGGAUGAGCAGCCACAGUGGAACUGAGACACGGUCAAGACUCAUACGGGAGGCAGCAGUGGGAAAUAUGGGACAAUGGGCGCAAGCCUGAUCCAGCCAUACCGCGGGGGUGAAGAAGGCGUUGGCGUUGGAGAGCCCUUCUGUUGUGAAAGAAAAGCAGCAGGUUAAGACCGCGCUGUGCUGACGGUAGCCAAAGAAUAAGCACCGGCUAACUUCGUG